CCCGUAAUCCGGGUUGCGGACAGUGUCUGGUGGGUAGUUUGACUGGGGCGGUCUCCUCCUAAAGAGUAACGGAGGAGCACGAAGGUUGGCUAAUCCUGGUCGGACAUCAGGAGGUUAGUGCAAUGGCAUAAGCCAGCUUGACUGCGAGCGUGACGGCGCGAGCAGGUGCGAAAGCAGGUCAUAGUGAUCCGGUGGUUCUGAAUGGAAGGGCCAUCGCUCAACGGAUAAAAGGUACUCCGGGGAUAACAGGCUGAUACCGCCCAAGAGUUCAUAUCGACGGCGGUGUUUGGCACCUCGAUGUCGGCUCAUCACAUCCUGGGGCUGAAGUAGGUCCCAAGGGUAUGGCUGUUCGCCAUUUAAAGUGGUACGCGAGCUGGGUUUAGAACGUCGUGAGACAGUUCGGUCCCUAUCUGCCGUGGGCGCUGGAGAACUGAGGGGGGCUGCUCCUAGUACGAGAGGACCGGAGUGGACGCAUCACUGGUGUUCGGGUUGUCAUGCCAAUGGCACUGCCCGGUAGCUAAAUGCGGAAGAGAUAAGUGCUGAAAGCAUCUAAGCACGAAACUUGCCCCGAGAUGAGUUCUCCCUGAGACUUAGAGUCUCCUGAAGGAACGU
rnacentral:rRNA from 1 species